GUAGAGAACUUGCUAGCAGUGAAUGAACAGCUGGGCGCCAUGUUUUCACGUCCUAAAUAAAUAUUUGGCUUCAAAAACGAAAACAAAGAAAAGAGAAGAGAAAACAGGAGAGAAAAGAGAGAGAGAGAGAGAGGCAGUGAGACGGCGUGUCACCAGUCUGUCUCACAACAGGCCCAACAGAUCCAGCUGUGCCCCCCCAUCCCUGAACCCUACCAAUGAGCCGGCUCCUCGUCCCAGCUGAAGAAGGAGCACAGACCUUCAACGUUUGAAGCAGGAGGAUGGAUUCACAGACAUCUGCAGGAGGAGGUCGCUGUUGUGGGCGGAGGCCGGCAGGGAGGAGAGGCCGAGGCCCGGCUGGCGGCUGGAGAAGGUGGGCGGAGGCUGGAUGAGGGGCGGAGUGUGUCCGAAGGCGCUGAGCCCCCGCUGCUGGGAGAGGAGCUGCUGGUGUCCGUAGGAGCUGCUGGCGGCCGAGCUGGAGCGCGAGUUGUUGAUGUAGGCCACCAGAGAGUUUGGCGAGGUGCGGAUCAUCGUCU